rnacentral:lncRNA from 1 species
CAAAGACAAGAAAGAUAAACAAGGUGCAGAUGGAGUGAUUUUCAUUUGUUGUUUUGCAGGCAGAGGCAGUCUCAGAUGGUUACCUGAACAUGAAAUGUUUUUCUCUGUGGAUAGUCGUUUUGAGGCGGACAAACAGUCCUAAUCUCAGCUAAUCAAUCAUGAGACAGAGAAUGGAAGUUGGACGUUCUGAGUCUGCCCAUGCCAGCAGGUUCAUGCAAAAGAGGCUAGUCACAGGCUAGGAACUGAUUGCUGUGCUCACUUGUGACCACCCAGCUUGAGACAACAGAACUACCACCCUGCUGUGUCCACCAAGACAACAGACCUACUACCUGCUGUGUCCAUCAAUUGCUGUGCCAACAGAGCAGUCUCGUGACUAUCGUAAAAGGGACAUUUCAACCAUAUGUGAAACAUCCUCUUUGAGGAAUCUACUAUCCUCCAUGGAGACAGACACCGCCAAGGACAAGCACCUGGAUUCAUCAUCUGGAAAUACAGGCUGGUGGGAAAGCUGCUGACCAGCAAGAUCACGGACUCCCUCCUCUCUGCAAGUAGUCUCAAGGCCAAAGACAGCCUGGUGGGAAAGCUCUGACCAGCAAAGCCAUAUGCUCCCCUUCCCCUACCUAAAACCCC